GUGCUUGCUUUGACAGUACAUAUACUAAAUUUGGAAUGAUACAGAGAAUAUUAACAUGGGUCCUGCACAAAGAUGACAAGCAAAUUCAUGGAACUUUUGUAUUUUUG
ensembl:snRNA U6 U6 spliceosomal RNA